UGAGCUGGCGAUUUACUUCGCAUGUGCUCGCUUUCUUAUCCUUUAUACACCUGUGCAUCUCUGAGGGGAUAGUAGGCUGACUUAUGUUAGUCGAGCUCCCCUUUAUACACACACUUUAUUUAUUAAUGAAUGUUCAAACGCUUAACAGCAUUUAAAAACAACUUUUAACAACGGAUCUCUUGGCUCUCGCAUCGAUGAAGAACGCAGCGAAAUGCGAUAAGUAAUGUGAAUUGCAGAAUUCAGUGAAUCAUCGAAUCUUUGAACGCACCUUGCGCUCCCUGGUAUUCCGGGGAGCACGCCUGUUCGAGCGUCAUGAAGCUCUCAAACGGUCUCUUCUUUUAAUCGAGAUGGAGGCAUGUUUGGAUUUGGACUCUGCCGUGUUACAAACGGCUGGUCCGAAAUAUAUUAGCUGAUCCUAGUGAGACUUGGUUCUACUUGGCGUGAUAAUUAUCUAACGUCGAGGACAUCGCAAGAUGGCCAAAGCUUGUCAUGGAUUGCUUCUAAUCGUCUUCAUCGACAACUUAUCAUCAAUCUGACCUCGAAUCAGGCGGGACUACCCGCUGAACUUAAGCAUAUCAA
rnacentral:rRNA from 1 species